AGAGCUGCGGGCUGCCUCCUGAGAGCAGGGCGCCCUGCUCGGAGCUCCUGCCUGUCUCCUGAGAGUGGGGGGCCCUGCUUAGAGCUCCUGGCUGCCUCCUGAGAGUGGGGUGCCCUGCUGGCCACAGCCCUUUGCUCUGCUCCAUCUCAUAGACUGGGCUCUGGCAGUUUAAUCAAGAUAGUUUUCCUCUCUCCCCCGCCCGCCAUCUUGCUGAGGUACCGGGGAGGCACGUGGCCACGUGAGAAGCGGUAAGUUCGCUGAUGUAGGGUUUUGGAGGCUACGUGUUUGGAAGAAAUAAACUGUGGGAUUAUCUACAUGAAAGGGAAGGAUUCCUGAGCUUGUACAGUCUGAAUCGACUCCCUAGCUAGAAAGGCUUUCCAAAUCAAUCCUUCUCCAACUGAUCAUCACUAUGGGAGAACAAGACAUGCUCUAUGAAUGAUCUUACACUUCUGCAAAUGGCUAUUCCUGAAGUGACAUCUAAGAGAGGACAGAUAAAGAGAAUUAGAUAUGAUUCUUAAAGCAGAGUUCCAGGUGCAAGAGGAUGAGAAGAAACUGACAAACUGAUAGAAUACUACGUUCCAAGCUAAGGAGAGAGAAGUGAGGGAAAGGAGGUACAAAAAACAGAGACUGCAUCUCCACAUCCAGUGUUAACUAACGACUGAACAGAACACAGAAGAGGUAACCAUAGAAGCUGAUUCAGGUGGUGCUACUGUGUAUGUGGCAGUAUCUCAUUAACAGCUGCUUAGUGCUCAGUGGAAUCUUGUUUGCAUGUGCCUGGAAGGAAGACAUAGAUACUGAUUCUUUCACUUUCUUCCAAGCAGAGCCUCAUUAAAUUGAUCCUGUUCCCUCCUCUGUUCCAACAGUGCAUCAGAUCUGACUCUUGCUCCAGUGAUAUUGAGAAUUUUGCUAUUAUCUUUAACAGGAACAGGCCUUUUGGAAAAGG
rnacentral:lncRNA from 7 species